GGCGAUGUAGCCAAGUGGUUACGGCGAUUGAUUCGAAAUCAAUUCCUCUUUGAGGGCGUAGGUUCAAAUCCUGCCAUCGUCG
rfam:Sphaerobolus stellatus SS14 unplaced genomic scaffold SPHSTscaffold_183, whole genome shotgun sequence.